rnacentral:sRNA from 1 species
CUCUCUCUCUCGGGACGCGCUUGGUAUAUGAUUAUACGCUUCAACCACGCGGAUGUAUUUAAUUUUUCGCUUCUGUCUGUCCAAUGUGGAUAUCCCAUUUCCAAUUAUGAUAUUAUUGAUUAUUUAACUUUAUAUGUAUAGUUAUAUGAUAUAUAUGAUGAAAUAAGGAAGGGAGAAAGAGAGGGGUGGGAGAGGAGGGGAGAAACAAAAGACGAUGCUAUUUUUCAUCAAGAAAAAAACCAAGAAUAAAACGGAAUAAAAUAAUCGAUACAACGCAAUUUAUGGAUGGAACAGAUCAACAGGAAAUCCCGUAUAUUUCCCCAGCAAAUCAGCAAGCAGUAGAACCAAAACAAAGAGGAAAUGCCAAUAAGCAAAAGAACAAGAAUUUCAAAAUCAACCUGGGCGUAUAAGA